rnacentral:rRNA from 1 species
GUCUGCGGCUUAAUUCGACUCAACACGGGGAAACUCACCAUGGUCAGGACACAAGUUUGAUUGACAGGUUAAUAGCCCUUUCUUGAUUGUGUGGUGGGUAGUGCAUGGCCGUUUCCAGUUCGUGGAGUGAUCUGUCUUGUUAAUUCAGAUAACGAACGAGACCUAAGCCUUUAACUAGCCGUAGGCCUUUUCCUUCGGGGAAGGGUUAGUUUGUCGGAACAGGUUUCGGCCUGUUCCAAAACCUACGAGACUUUUGUCAGCUUCUUAAAGGGACUUCAUUCGUAAACUAGGAUGAGGAAGAUUUAGGCCAUAACAGGUCUGUGAUGCUCUUAGAUGUCCUGGGCUGCACGCGUACUACAAUAACGGUACCAGCGAGCGCUAUGGUUUUAUAACCCCUUAUCCUAAUAGGAUUGGGAAAACUUUUCAAACACCGUUAUGACAGGGAUCGAGGAUUGGAACAUCCUCGUGAACGAGGAAUUCCUAGUAAGCGUGGUUCAUCAUACCACAUUGAUUACGUCCCUGCCUUUUGUACACACCGCCCGUCGCUCCUACCGAUGGGACGAAGAGAUGAACCUGGCGGACCGAACCGCAAGGUAAGGGAAACCAGUU